GUACGUGUGUUGAUUUUGUGUGCUGUUUUGCCUGUUUUACAUGUUUUAAUAAAGGCGGGGCUUUAGUGAUCUUGUAUCUAUGAGAUGCCAAAUGAAAGUUAUUUAGUGUCGGCACUGCGCAGUGGAUCCAGCACUUGCACAGCAAGGAAGCACGACAUUUGCAUAAUAACCGUUUUGGUUUUUCUUUUUCUUUUUCUUCCCACAUUUACUUGUUUCCUCCACUGGGUGUUGCGAGGGCUUGCGUUUGUGGAUUUUCCAUUGAGCGGAACUGAUUUUUAGGACGUAAGGAACAUGUGCAAAUGCGGAGAGACUCGUUGCGCAUGGCGAGCCGGAGCUGGAACAUGGUUUUAAGAAGAGAAGACCAGCACCAGUAUAGAGACUUCAGAAUUGGUGGAGGCGUUCCUGCUCAAGCUCACCAAAAUGGUACUGAACCGUAUUCGUCUGUCAGAUCUUUCUAAACUCUUGUUUCUUUUUCUAGUGUCUAUUUCCUUCUUUCUAUUUACAUGAAAGAGAAACUAGCUCGCUUACUUAAUUACUAAUUUACACAGCAGAUCACUAUAACUCCUGAUCCGUAUCACUAGCUGUCUCUACCCUAGAUAUUUGCUUCAGCUUCUACACUUAUAGUUGAUGUCUAUCAAAAAGGGGUAUUUUGUGCUUCACAGAGUAUAUAACUGUGGGAAUUUGGUCACAUUGCUCUCUGUGAUUUCCCAAGACUAAGCAAGCCUAAAGCGCUUACUGAUAAAGAUGAAUGAAUGCACGGAUAAAUAGAUUAGGUGUUGUACCAGGCACUAGAAUUAGAACUAAAAAUCCAAAUAUAUUGUUAUUCCAUUUCGCGCAGCCUGCAUCUGACAUCUGUUCUUUUAAUCAUUUGCUGGACGAGUGAAAUGAUGACCAAGUGAAAACGUUUAUUGCUAUUUAUUUUAUUACCGUUUGAAAGCUGGUCGAAAGGUCAAGCAAUUAGUUAAGUAAGCAGAUAUCAUUAGAACUCUAUUAACUGUAAUUGUAAACCUAUGCGUGAAAUAGGACACAAUCUGCUGCAGGUUAUCUAAUAAUAUAUUUUAGUAUUUUGAACAACUGUUUCAGAUAUAGUGUGACUUGACAGAAGUGUUCUGUGUGUGUGUGUGUGUGUGUGUGUGUGUGUGUGUGUUAUUGGCAGGGAAUUUCUCAAGAUUUCUGAUCAUAAUUUUUUCCAUUACUUGCAAGCUGCAAAACAAAUCUCUCUCUCUCUCUCUCUCUCUCUCUCUCUCUCUCUCUCUCUCUCUCUCUCUCUCUCUCUGAGCCACCUGUUUCACAGUCAUGUUUUUUAAGUUAUUUCUAAGUUAUUAUUAAACCAACACAUUUUGGUGUCUCAGAACUGGUAAGAAAACUUGAGGGCUUCUGCAUUCAUGUGCCACAUUGUUCCUCUGUCACUGAGAGAAUCAUUAAACAUUCAUGUUGACUCUCUCUUAUCGGCCAAGAAAUAUGCCAACAUUAAUACCGAGUCAGUGAGGACAAGAUAAGAAGAAGAGUACAUGUACAAAUAUUGCAAUAGUUUGAGUGCAAGUCCUAAAAGUACACUCCAACUUUGUUUCUUAAGACGUUUUAUGAGUUAAAGAAUUGUACUUCAUUUCAAACAAUUUCAUGAGCAAUAUGUUCAUAAUCAUCAAGAGUCUGCUUUUUUGAGAUGGAAAAAAUGAGGCAUUCUAGGUAAGGAAGUAGAUUAUCUUUUAAUUGAAAUUGCACUGAUUACUUUAAGUUCUGGUGCACAACCAAUUCCAAGUUUCCUCUUAUUUUUUAAGUCAGUGUAGACAAAUAUGCCUUCUUGUUGAUCAUGGUUCUUGAUGAAGCCAAUGGUUUCGACUGAAGAGUCCUUUUUGGAAAGAGUGAAAUAAAUUUAAAUAGUUUCCCAAUCGAAGGCACGCAAUGCAAUACUUCUAACUUUAGCAGAAUACAGUGGAUUUUUAUAUUGUUGAAAAAUUUUAAAGACAUUUGUAUAAUGUCUUUUCCACUAUAGUGUUGUACAACAUCCCACACUGCAUUUUCUCAAUUGAAUAAAUACAUCAUCUUCUUGUUGGAAUUUUCAUUGUGAACAUUGUUCACUCGCUUGAUUUAUACUUCAAAAUGGUGUAGAAUACUGCAUAGAUAUGCAUAUUGUGUUUUGAGAUGGCGCCAACUUGGAGAUAAGCAUCACGCAGAGCCAAUGAUGUAAACCAGUUCUUUGGGUGCAUGCCAUUAAUGCAAUCUAAAAUAGCAGAAUGAACUGCUGUGAUACUGUAUAUGCAAUGUGAUAAAUAAAUAUAAAAUACUUGGUAUAACAAUAACAGUACUGUGUCUAUUUGGUCUGACGUGCACAAUGCAAGACGCUUAAUGUGAGUGGUAUUACAGUGCAUAUAUACAGUACAUGCAUACAAUAUUUAUCUUACAGUACACAAGAAGGUAUGCAGACAAAUCUUACCACCUCAGAUGUUUAUGAGAGAUGAUGUAUGACAAACGCUGGUAAAAAUUAGGUGACGGGAGAUCAAGUCAGUCUUUGCUGGAUUUAUUAAUAGAGCAGAGUGUCAGAUUUAUUAAUAGAGAAGAGUGUCAAUAUUUCUGGUAAGAAUUGCUGAGUAUAGGUUACAACUGUGACACUAUGCGCUGGCUCAGUGGCCAUAAUGGCAAUAGAAAAUAUUGGCUUAAGCAAAACCUUAUAUGUGAUAUCCAUAUUUUCCAUUUGUUUGAAUAGUAAGUUGCUUAUUAAUGUGUAGAUCCCACAGUGAAACCAAUCUGAUGUUUGGAGACAUUUUGCAACUUUAAGAAAGGUUUUGACUAGAUUAAGUGUUUUCCAAUGUAAACUGUAAUCCUGUGCCAAUGAAGAGCAGCCAAUGCUCCCAAGUACACUUCUAAAACACUUCUAGCAAAGUGCCUCAAAUGAUUGUUUAUGCCCAGUGUUCCUCACUGUUGGCCUCAGUUCCCAUUUUAGAAUUCCCAAUUUAGGAACGACCCGAGCCCAACCACAUCUUUUUAGAGAGUCUGAGUUUCUUCAUACUCGAAGGCGAUGAUUUGAUUUUCAAAAGACAAGUUACUGUCUAAGUGCAGUAUAUAUCCAGUUAGUUAGUUUUCUUAUGCAGAAAUUUACCCAUAGUCAGGACCUGAAUUUAGGGGAUUUUUCAUGCAUUCCAAUUUCUUAUAGACACAUUAUACAAAUAACAAGAGUUUCAUUAUGGAAAUGUAUUUGUUUGCUUACAUUUAGUUUGACCUAUUACCAGGAAUAUAGUAUUACCAGUUUCUGUGGUGUGCUCGGAUUUCUCCAUGAGAUUUCUCACGUCUCACGCUAAUUUCAACGCUCUUGCCACAAUAACAUGAUUACAGUCUUGUGUAGGAGGAUGCAAUCAACACAUUUGUUUAAUUCUGAGCCACACUUCAUAGUGAAUGGUCUGUUUAAUGGUGGAGAAAAGUGAAGCGCGAAAAAGAGUGGAAGCUUUAAUAUUCUUUCCAAAUCCGAAAGCUGGCAGACACAGAGUGACUAAUCAGGUGCAGGUCAGGUGAUCUGUAUACACCACAAUGAGGCAUGAAUGAGGCACAACACAAAUCAUGAGGUACAGAAGAAGCAGUCAUACCAUGGGAGCAUGUACCGUGUACAAAGCCUUGUUCUUGACACAAACACGGUGUAAACUGCAUGAAGUGAAUGAAUGAAAGACGUAAUAACUGUGUGGUAUUUGAGUGUUCAUUGUGAGCGUAGCUGUGUAUUCCUAUGUGGCCAUGCUUGUGGACUGCAGAGUAUGUGAUCCUGAUGUGGUAGUGAUUUUGUAAGCUUAAAUUUAAGUUUUGCUUCCACAAAUCCAACGAGCACACUUUCAUGUAGACACUUUGCACGCUUAUUCAGAGUAAAUGUUAUUUUAGCUGCUGCCUGUUUUGACCACGCGCCCAAGAUCCUCUUUAUUUGGUGCUUAAAAUUAUUUGGAAUCGAACCCAGACCACAGCAACCAGAUCACGGGAUCCUGCCGCUGGACCAGUCGGAGUCUUACACUCUUAGAGUAAUAUAUUUAAAAAAUAAAAAGUGCUGAAACCAAAACUGAAAGUGAAAACUAAAUUUUGACAACAUGCCAACUGCAGCAUAGUAAAUGCCUACAGAUAAUUUAUUAUCACACUGAUACGGGUGCCAUGUGUGGAGUAGAUUAACCUUUAACAUGAUAAUACACGUAAAAGCUGAAGAUAAAUGAAUUCAUUAGAUAUAAUACCUAAACUAUUCAUAUUUCAUUUCUUUAUCUUACAUUAACAACCUUAUUUUACAAAAACAAUAAUAAUAAAAUCAUAAAAUAAAAACAAUAGCAAAAGCUACAAUUUAGUCAUUUUGAUACUGAUACCGGGGGCACGGUGGCUUAGUGGUUAGAACGUUCGCCUCACACCUCCAGGGUCGGGGUUCGAUUCCCGCCUCCACCUUGUGUGUGUGGAGUUUGCAUGUUCUCCCCGUGCCUCGGGGGUUUCCUCCGGGUACUCCGGUUUCCUCCCCCGGUCCAAAGACAUGCAUGGUAGGUUGAUUGGCAUCUCUGGAAAAAUUGUCCCUAGUGUGUGAUUGCGUGAGUGAAUGAGAGUGUGUGUGUGCCCUGCGAUGGGUUGGCACUCCGUCCAGGGUGUAUCCUGCCUUGAUGCCCGAUGACGCCUGAGAUAGGCACAGGCUCCCCGUGACCCGAGGUAGUUCGGAUAAGCGGUAGAAGAUGAAUGAUGAAUGAAUGAUACUGAUACCAAUGCAUUCUUCUAUCAUAACAGGAAUUUAACGAUUUCAGGCUAUACACUCCAACACUACAAAAUUAUAAGGUAUGUGUUUCUUGCAUGUAAUAGUAUUCUUCAUUUUAAUGUCUGUAGCUCAUGAGUACACUUUUUAUUAUUUUAUAUUAUUGUGCUGUUUUUUUACACUAAUUGACAAGUCAGUAUUUCUGAGAAAUGUUGAGAAUUCCUUGGGAACAAUUUCAACAGCACCUAAAGCAGAUUCUCCCCGUUACACGUGUGUGUUGUAUGUUGCAAAUGCAUGUCUAAGCAUAUAAGCAAAAAGUUUUCUUAUUUUUAUUAAAGACAUGAUUUCUUUUUAUGUAUUAUUUUAAAUGCAUAGUCAUAAAAUAUUUUGGUGUUUUUGCCCGUGUUUACCGUGCAGGCUUCAAGAUGUUGUCUUCUCACUCCAGCAGAAAUGUUCCAGAUCUACAUUGGAGUGCUUUCAAAAGGAGAUGACCGUCCUUGUUAAAGAGACUAAGGAAAAUUCCAGUUUACCCAAAAGGCUCCAAGAUCUCCAACGAAGACUUAGUAACAAGAUGCCUCCUUGCCCAAAGUGUGAGGUCUACAACGAAACACAAGCUGAAAUAUUUCUUGAGACUUUGAGAACUAUUUUGCAAUUUAUUUGCACCACUUAGACAAAAUCUGGAUCUCACUGAACUAACAUGCUUUGAAGAAGCUGGGUAUUCAGGAGAAAUGUAUUUCCUGAGUUGAACCCUGAGUUUGUAGCUCUUCUGCCUCAAAGAUUGAAAUUUCGCAUGUGCUAACAUGCUGUUCUGCUCACCACAUUUGUAAAAAGUGGUUAUUAUAUUCAUCCUGUCAGCACCAACCAGUCAUUCAAUCAACCCAUUCUCCUUUUAGCUCUGAUGAACAAGAUAUUUCUGCUGAAAGAAUAGCAGCUCACAGUAUGUUCUUUGUUUGUUUUAUGUUUUUGUUUGCAUUGUUCUGGGUAAAUUCAAAAGACUGUUGUGUUUGAAAAACCAAGAAGAUCAGAAGUACAUGAAAUACACAAACCAACUCAACUGAAUCUGACAACCAAGCAACGUUUAAUAUCACUGAGAAAGCUAUUCUCCUCAUUUAGGUGUUUUAUAAAACAUUUAUUUAAGCUCUUCACUAUCAGCCUGAUUAUAUGCAUUUUGCUGCUGCCACAUUGGCUGUUUAUAUCAAGAACAUGCUUGUGUGCAGAGGUUCUGUAUAUAUAUUUGCACAUAAUAUUAUAUUGUUUUAUAUUUCACUCAGUUAAAAAAUAUAGGUUUCACAUAUAAUUUUUGCAUUUGGUUUGACUGGAAACUACCUCUAUAUUAACACUAAAGGCUUUUAGGAAGGAAUGCAAAGUCAGCUUUCAGUAUAUCUGUUUCUUGUUUACCUGCUUAUCAUGUUUCAAUGUUUCACAUUUAAAUGUAUAUUUAAGAUUUGUUGACUCGUGUGUUCUAACUAACCUAAAAGUUAUGUCAUUAACAUAUCGUUGCACAAUUCUUACAGUAAAAGCAAUAUUUUCUUGGGAUAUUUAUUUGUUUUCUGUUAUUUAAACAAUUUUCAGCUUUGUUAUAAAUAAACAUUCUGUCAUUUAA